GACAAAAAAGAACUGGCUCAGAUCAUUUCCUCUUUCUUUCGCUCUCUGUGUGUGACAGGUCAACACGCCGACCCACCAAGCUGUGGCGACAACCAAUGAGCUGGAUAUGAUUUAUAACGGAAUCCUCUAUGACUUCUGGCUCAAGUUCUCCUCCCACCUCGAACACCUCACCACUCCAGGCCUUGAAUCUCACAGACGCCUGGGCAACCGGCUGAUCCUCAGCUGACCCCCAAACGGAGGUGUUCAGGCAGUGGAUGAUGACGUGCUGCACGGCCUCUGAACUCAGCAGGUGCAGGAAGUUCAUCUGGACACGACCGACGCUGAUUAUUGGCUGCUCAAAACAGACGGGAAAGACGCUGGUCAACAAGUUUGUUGUAUGCUCAUGUGAAAUAUUUGCCGGUCUCAAAGUUUUUACAAUAUUGUCGCUUUU